GCGACGUGUGAUAUAUGCGGUUGUGGGGAUGAGGAUGAACACCACGUAGUUGUGGGAUGCACCAAGAGUAGAGCACUCAGGCACAAAAUGAGGGAGGAGUGGGAUAUCCCAUCGGAAAAGCAUUUUCGGAAUACUGGUGAAGAUUGGCUACAGAUCCUACUGAGCUCCGUCCCAAAAGAUGUUCGCGCAAAAAUCUUGUUGUUGCUGUGGAGAUGCUGGCACCUGCGUGACAAUUGCAUACACGAGGAUGGCAAGGAGCCGGUUUUAGUAUCCGCCGCCUAUCUGUCGAAGAUGCGUGAGGAAUGGAAGAACGUGGGUGAAGCCGGACAUGUGUUUGUCGGGAAGGACUGUGGGCUUCAGACAAACUCAUGCCCAAGUACUCAUACAACUCAAAGAAAUCAGUGGACUGCUCCACCGAGGGGCAUAGCAAAAAACUGA
rnacentral:rRNA from 1 species